CCUACGGGUGGCAGCAGUGGGGAAUAUUGGGCAAUGGGCGCAAGCCUGACCCAGCAACGCCGCGUGAAGGAAGAAGGCUUUCGGGUUGUAAACUUCUUUUAAGAGGGAAGAGCAGAAGACGGUACCUCUUGAAUAAGCCACGGCUAAUUACGUGCCAGCAGCUGCGGCAAUACGGAGGUGGCAAGCGUUGUCCGGAUUUACUGGGUGUAAAGGGCGUGCAGCCGGGAAGACAAGUCAGAUGUGAAAUCCCGCGGCUCAACCGCGGAACUGCAUUUGAUACUGUUUUUCUUGAGUACCGGAGAGGUCGUCGGAAUUCCUGGUGUAGCGGUGAAAUGCGUAGAUAUAAGGAAGAACACCAGUGGCGAAGGCAGAUGACUAGACGGCAACUGACGGUGAGGCGCGAAAGCGUGGGGAGCAAACAGGAUUAGAUACCCGUGUAGUC
rnacentral:rRNA from 1 species